GACGAACGCUGGCGGCGUGCUUAACACAUGCAAGUCGAACGGAAAGGCCCUGCUUUUGUGGGGUGCUCGAGUGGCGAACGGGUGAGUAACACGUGAGUAACCUGCCCUUGACUUUGGGAUAACUUCAGGAAACUGGGGCUAAUACCGGAUAGGAGCUCCUGCUGCAUGGUGGGGGUUGGAAAGUUUCGGCGGUUGGGGAUGGACUCGCGGCUUAUCAGCUUGUUGGUGGGUAGUGGCUUACCAAGGCUUUGACGGGUAGCCGGCCUGAGAGGGUGACCGGCCACAUUGGGACUGAGAUACGGCCCAGACUCCUACGGGAGGCAGCAGUGGGGAAUAUUGCACAAUGGGUGGAAGCCUGAUGCAGCAACGCCGCGUGCGGGAUGACGGCCUUCGGGUUGUAAACCGCUUUCGCCUGUGACGAAGCGUGAGUGACGGUAAUGGGUAAAGAAGCACCGGCUAACUACGUG
rnacentral:rRNA from 1 species